CCUACGGGUGGCAGCAGUGGGGAAUAUUGCGCAAUGGGCGAAAGCCUGACGCAGCGACGCCGCGUGAGGGAUGAAGGUCUUCGGAGCGUAAACCUCUGUCAGCAGGGAAGAACGGUCACUGUGCUAAUCAGCAGUGAAUUGACGGUACCUGCAAAGGAAGCACCGGCUAACUCCGUGCCAGCAGCCGCGGUAAUACGGAGGGUGCGAGCGUUAAUCGGAAUUACUGGGCGUAAAGCGGUCGUAGGCGGUAUGUCAAGUCAAGGGUGAAAUCCCCGCGCUCAACGUGGGAACUGCCUUUGAAACUGGCAAACUGGAGUGUGUGAGAGGAUAGUGGAAUGCCAGGUGUAGGAGUGAAAUGCGUAGAUAUCUGGAGGAACAUCAGUGGCGAAGGCGACUAUCUGGCACAUAACUGACGCUGAGGAGCGAAAGCGUGGGUAGCAAACAGGAUUAGAUACCCGAGUAGUC
rnacentral:rRNA from 1 species